UGAGAGCUGAGCUGAGGCAGAACGGACACACUCAUGCAGAAGGACAAGUGCCACAUGCCUCCUCGGAGCCUGCUCUGUGUGCUGGUGGUCUUGGCUUUGUCUGGAUGUAAUGUGGCCCAGAAAGUGACUCAGGUCCAGUCAACAGCAAGCAGGCAGGAGGGGGAAGACAUCACCCUGGACUGUUCAUAUGAGACAAGUUAUGUCGAAUAUUAUCUUUUUUGGUACAAGCAGCUUCUUAGUGGAGAAAUGGUUUUCCUUAUUCACCAAAUUUCUUCUACUGCAGAGGAGAGGAGUGGCCGCUAUUCUGUAGUCUUCCAGAAAUCACUCAAGUCCAUCAGCCUUGUCAUUUCAGCCUCUCAGCCAGAGGAUUCGGGGAAGUAUUUCUGUGCUCUCAGUGAAUUGACACAGUGUUUGAAAUGACAGCACAAGCUGAACAAAAACUGGGGCUACUUAAGCAGCGACCCUCUGAGGGAGGGAGCCCAGCUGAGACGCACACCUGCACAUCCUGAACAAGAAGAUCUCAACUGUGGAUGCUCCGUCUGUGUCUGCAUCAGAACUGUGUUUCUAAGUAAAACCUCAGACCAUGCGAUUGAGAAAGAAUUAUGGUGAGCGGCUUUCUAUACUACAUUGUCUUAAAACAGAGUUAAAAAUAGACCACUGAGAAUAUGUGUAAUAUUUUCUGCACUUGGGAAUCUUGCACCGCAAUAAUUUGAAGUUUCUCUUUAAUUUGUUAACAGCACAAACCUCAGAGGAGGCAUCUGGAAUAGCAAAGAACAUAAUUUCCUGAAGAAAGUUGCACUCAGAGAAGGAGAUCCAGCAUGAAUGUAGUAGUCAGAGACAGACUAUAAGGAUUUCUCUCCAUGAAAUACUGGUGGUGACUGGGUUACCCCACCAAUCUUUAUCUUUGUGUCUAGUACUGAGCCUGAGGUACUGAAGGUCAGCAGUUGGGGAGGACAGGUACAUGAGCAUAGCACCUGGCUGUUCUGAGAUUUGUGAGAAUUCAGUGAGACCCAUAAAGCCAAUGGAAUCUAGAAGGAUAAACUUCCCUCACCUCCUCAGUCCCUCUGGUUUGGGGGAGCAUCAGAAGUCAUGCCAUUUGCCAACGUGAUACACACAGACUCGACCUGAAUAAAGAAAAGCUGUAGAAGUGAGGAGUAGAGUGUUAAUGGUAAAGUGAGCUGGAAUCUAAUGGACAUCAAAUAUUUAUGGGGCCUGAAUCUGCAGGGCUAUAUAAAAAUAAUUAAAUAUAUCACACCUGUUUCUUGAGUCUUCUACAGCUGCCUUUUCCAUGUCCACCCCCAAAACAUAGCAACAUGGAGAAGGAAAUUCUGAGUAAUGUGUUUCCAGAUAUGUUUUUAAAGAUUAUUUUUUAAUAUCAUGUGUGUAACCUUUUUGUCAGCAUGUAUAUAUGUGUACUGGGUGAAGUCUGGUGCUCAUGGAGGCCAGAAAGGGAUAUUAGAUUCUGGAAAUUGGAGUUAUCGAAGGAAAGGAUUUACCACGUGGAUG